CUCUUGACCUCGGAUCAGGUAGGGAUACCCGCUGAACUUAAGCAUAUCAAUAAGCGGAGGAAAAGAAACCAACAGGGAUUGCCCUAGUAACGGCGAGUGAAGCGGCAACAGCUCAAAUUUGAAAUCUGGCUCUUUCAGAGUCCGAGUUGUAAUUUGCAGAGGGCGCUUUGGCUUUGGCAGCGGUCCAAGUUCCUUGGAACAGGACGUCACAGAGGGUGAGAAUCCCGUACGUGGUCGCUAGCUAUUGCCGUGUAAAGCCCCUUCGACGAGUCGAGUUGUUUGGGAAUGCAGCUCUAAAUGGGAGGUAAAUUUCUUCUAAAGCUAAAUAUUGGCCAGAGACCGAUAGCGCACAAGUAGAGUGAUCGAAAGAUGAAAAGCACUUUGGAAAGAGAGUCAAACAGCACGUGAAAUUGUUGAAAGGGAAGCGCUUGCAGCCAGACUUGCUUGCAGUUGCUCAUCCGGGCUUUUGCCCGGUGCACUCUUCUGUAGGCAGGCCAGCAUCAGUUUGGGCGGUGGGAUAAAGGUCUCUGUCACGUACCUCUCUUCGGGGAGGCCUUAUAGGGGAGACGACAUACCACCAGCCUAGACUGAGGUCCGCGCAUCUGCUAGGAUGCUGGCGUAAUGGCUGUAAGCGGCCCGUCUUGAAACACGGACCAAGGAGUCUAACAUCUAUGCGAGUGUUUGGGUGUCAAGCCCGAGCGCGUAAUGAAAGUGAACGGAGGUGGGAACCCGCAAGGGUGCACCAUCGACCGAUCCUGAAGUUUACGGAAGGAUUUGAGUAAGAGCAUGGCUGUUGGGACCCGAAAGAUGGUGAACUAUGCUUGAAUAGGGUGAAGCCAGAGGAAACUCUGGUGGAGGCUCGCAGCGGUUCUGACGUGCAAAUCGAUCGUCAAAUUUGGGCAUAGGGGCGAAAGACUAAUCGAACUAUCUAGUAGCUGGUUCCUGCCGAAGUUUCCCUCAGGAUAGCAGUAACGUAUUCAGUUUUAUGAGGUAAAGCGAAUGAUAAAGGCAUGGGGGU
rnacentral:rRNA from 1 species